CAGAAUUCUGGAAAAGCUUUUUUAUAAAUUCAUCUCCAUCUUUAUCUUCCAGUUUUUUUUAAAAGGAUCAUUUAUGGUCAGGAAAAAAUGGUUUAAAAAGACUUAAAUAAAGACACACUGUAUUUGGAAAUGGCCUUUUGAGGAAUAAAAAAAUAAAACUUCCUUUAGGGCUUUAGUCUGUGUUGUAACAGACACUUUUGAAAAGAUGACCUGUUGGUUAAAAGAGUGGAAAAAAACUUUCAAGUGUUGUCAGCAAUACAGUAAGCCACAGGGGAGGGGACCUCAGAGCCAAUUCAGGCAGAAGACCUUUCAGAUGGUGGGCCACAGGCUGCUAAGGGAGUUACUGCUUGUGUGUAUAAAAAGACAGGGGUGAAUCCAAAAACAAGUCUGUUUUUUUUUUUUUUUAAGAGUAAAUAAACCUAAAAGCUUUGUUUCCAGUCCCAGGAGCCUGGGCUGAGACAAGGAAGCUUGACUGACUUAAGGGAAGAGCGUUUACGUUUGAUGGUUCAUAGCUGAAGUGUCCAAAUGCAGCUCGUGCUCAGUAUUUGUGCUGCUGACUGGCCUGAGUUUUGAGUCUACUUGCACACAUGCACACAUGUGCACGUAUAUAUGUACAUAUAUGUGUAUACACACACAUAUAUAUGAAUUAAAUAGAUAAUGACACUCGAGUCUAAGCACAUUAAACCCCUCAAGGUGUUACUCCGUCCUCUUGAAUAAUGAAUAGUCUUGCAGAAAGCACCACCAGGCAAGCAGGCUUGUCCAUACAUGUCAGACCUAGAGUAACACUAAAGGCCCUUUCAGGGAAAACUGGUCAAGAGAAUAGAACCUCUUGCCUGGUGGAGACUUAACAUUCAAGUUGGGUAGGUCAAACACCUGACCAAGAGACCACCCCUAGGAAGGCGGGCUCCCCUUAAGCCGUGUUAAAGGGAUAGCUGGAAUAAUCAUUCCUUUAAGGAUGCUGAACUUUUCCUUCCCAGAAUUUCUGUCCCCUAGUACAGAUCUUCCUAGACAUCAAGAGGUCAUCAUGAGGUUCAUUGUAAUUAUAAUUCCAGGAAAAAAAAUAGAUUAAUCUAAAGUUUUAAAAGUAGAAAUAAAAUUUUAAAUGUAUAUUUAUUUUUCCCUUUGUUUUAAUUGUAUAUGCAUGAGUGUUUGCCUGCAUGUAUGUUUGUGUACCACUGCACAUGUUAGAAGGGGGCAGCAGAUCCCCUAAGAUUGACAUUUCAGACAAUUGUGAACAACCAUCUGGGUGCUAGGAAUCCAACCAGAGUCAUCUGGGAGAGAGGCCAGUGCUUGUAACCUCUAGACCAUCUCUUUAGGCCUUGAAAUAUAUGCUUUAAAUAUAGGCUAUUUGUUCUUAAUCUUGAAACCACAUGGAAGUGUUUACCAUAGUAGUUAGCCAUCAAAUUCCUUUUUUAUAAGGAAUUUUAGUGUGUGUGUGUGUGUGUGUGUGUGUGUUGCACAUGUACAGGUAUCCUCAGGGACCAGAGGAGCUGUUUUUACAAGCAGUUGUGAGCUGCCCGACGUGAGUGCUGAAAAUUGAAUUACCCACUGAGCCAUCUCUCCAACUCCUCAGCUUCUCUUUGAAAACAGAUUUCAUCAAUUUCGUUAUGUAGUUCUUAGUCUGCCUUAGGUGAUACUGUUACUUAUUUUUCAUGAUUACGUUGUAUUCACUGGGAGGAGAGCAGUGUGCAUGUUCCACAGCAUGCCUCUGGUCAUCAGAGGAGAGCUUGCAGGAACUGGUCCACUCCUUCCAUGGUCUGUAUCCCCAGAAUCAAACUCAAACUCAGGUCAUGCUUGUCAGCC
rnacentral:lncRNA from 1 species